CUGGCAGUGGUGUGGUGUCAAAGAAGGCACAAGCCUACAGAUACAGAGGAAGGUAUUCACUAUGGAUCCAUCUCCUUCCAGCCUAAAGCAACUGGUGGCAACAGCGAUAAUACACUGUCCUCCAAUCAAGCAUCAGGCACUAACCUUGUUUCUUCAAAGGAAGAUGAGUC